rnacentral:tmRNA from 1 species
GGGGGCGUACCGGCUUCGACAAAGAGCAGACCGAAAGGCUGCAAGCCGAGCCGACUGACUCGUAACCCCUUCGGUAAACUCAGGGUUAUCCUGAGCCGUGCCGAAGGAUAAAUCCGGUCAAAACACGAUAGCUGCCAAUACAAAGGUAGUCACCCCGGCUCUGGCAUUCGCCUAAGUCGGGCAUCGGCCCUCAAACGCUCCGCGCGAGGAUCGCCGGUGUCAUACCCGGAGCUCGUCUAGAAACUUUUGCGCUUUCUUCAGACUUCUGGACUAAAUCCAAAGAAAGCAAACCCGCCGUCGUAAGAUGGCUAAGCUUGUAGAAUGUCUUCCGGAACCUCUUUGGACGGGAGUUCAAAUCUCCCCGCCUCCACAG